CUGCUUUGGAAUGUGGUUUGGAAAUCGUUUACCUACAGGAUUGCAAAUCUUCAUCAGAGGCAAGAGGAAUUGUCUGAGGAAUAAGGAUUUCUCCAUUCAAUGGGUGCACACCCUGUCAGAGAGGAAGAAACAGAGUGAAAUCUUUGCGAGAGAUGAUGCUAUUAUGGAUGUGUACUCGCACAGAAAGCCAGAAAAAGGGCACUGCAGCACCUCAGCUAUAUUUUGGAGGUAUCACUGACACCCAAAGUUGCACGGUUUUGUGCUCAAAGGUAAGCACGUUCUCCUUUCCCACCUUCGCCCACAGGAAACAAGGUUGCAAAGCAAAAAGCAUAGACAGGGGUUGUUAGAGGGAAUUUUGAUUGACUGGGGGUUAUUUUGCAACACAGAAACAUCUGAGCAGCAAUGCCUUUUGAUUAGCAACGAGUUUUUAUGUUGAACUUUGCAAAACACACAAGGAUUACUCAGGAAGAGUGUCACACAGACCAUGUGCAAUUAUCUACACAAGGGUUGCAGAAACAGCCUUUAGAUGUAAAACAGGAAUAAGCAAAGCUUAAAUUCACUCUUUGAGAGGAAGAUAGAAGAGGUUUUGAUGUGGUAGCAUCUGCAGGCCAUUGUAUUAGGACUUGCCAUGCUGUACAUGCUCUACUAAUCCAGGAUCCUUAGUCAUCAGGACUUUGUGUAGUCUGUGGAGCUCUGCACUGCCAGACACCCAGGGCAGUGCAAUCUCAGCUCACACAGUGCUGUGCCUCUGGCCCAUGCAUGGAACUGCUGGGUUUGGGGUCUUAGGGGCACACAGGGGCUGUGAGCUGCUGCUCAGGAAUGGAAUGUUUCAGCUACCUGAGUUUUGGGACUGCCUCUCUGCUGUGGCAUCCUUCAGUCCAGUUGUAAAUCUCUGUGCACUGUGGGGUACAGGGAGAGCUGCACCACCAAAUGCCUGAGGUGCACCACUAGCACCAGGACAGGGGAAGGUCUUAAGGGUGGUGCUGGGAUGAGGCUCAACUCAUUUUAGGUAUUUACAGAGUAGACUUCUAAGUGGGAGCUGCCACUCUGGCCUUUCCAGGCAGAAAUAGGAAGGUUUAUUAAGGAAAAAUAGGUGGGUUUAUUAUGCCAUUCAUCUGCCCUGUUUUAAGCAUCUCCUUUAAGAAGAGAUGAAUCACUGUGGAUUCCAUCAACAGUAUUGACUGGCUCUCCACUGACUCACAAGGGAGCCACAGGUGAGCUGUCCAAGAGCAGAUUUCUGCUUUAUUGGGGUGAACCUGCCGAGAGCUUCGUGCCCGUGGUGUAGGACUUGGCUGCUCUGAGCAGCUCAAACUGUGGCAUUUCAGUCAAUAACUGCUUCAGCAAGCUCAGUAUUUUUGGAGAAACGACACCCCUCAGGAGGAGUUUGCAAUGUUAAGUAGAUAAAAGGAACAGCAGGUGGGAAACAGAGGUGGCCUGUUUUCAGUAGGAAAUGAAGUCUGUGCUUCCUGCUCCUGCACCACAUGCCUCAAAACCUGUGUCUCUUUUAUAGCAGGUUUUCAUAUCUUCAAGGAGACAUUAGUUCAGGUGUGAACUCAUCAUAGUGAUGAUUAGUUCAUGAUGACUGCUGUCAUCUCCCUCCCAGCUGAAGGGGUCCUGUUGUAGCCAUAUCUCAUUCCCCGUGGCUAUUGCUGCUCCUUAUCCUCGGAGCAUCAGCUGCCUCUGAGGAAGUCUUGGGCCAUCAGGAAAUAAACUGUCUGGGUCAUCAAGCAAGACUGUGCCUAAAAGAGAGGGAAAAAAACCCAUCAGACUGUAGGAGCAAGAAGCAGAAAGGCAGCCCACACGUGUAAGAGUGGCAGCCUCUACAGUGUGGUGUGUGUCCACACGUCGCUGCAGAAGCCAUCUCCCUUCGGCUGUGAUCGCUCUCGACUGUUUGCAGUCUGUGUGCCGUGACGUGCAUGGAAUAUUACUACAGAAAUGUGCAUUCUUGUUAAUAGGUAUGGUUUAGGAUGAUUGUUAGCAGAGCAUAAGGCCUUAUUGAUUGAAAGUGGCAUAUGGCAAGGAUGUAUAAUGAUUCACUUUGGCUGCUAGUUCGAAAUCCUAUUCACGGGUGGAAAAAAAAAACCCCUGCUCUCCUUUGCAGUCAGGCUUCAUUCUUUCUGCAGCGUGUUUUUCAAACUGGGCUAUUUUACAAGUGAUCCCUAGGAGAGAUUUCCUGCUCUCCUGGGUGUGUGCUCAAAGCUCUUUUCAGUCUUGCAAGGGCAGGUCACAAGAACAAAAGCUGAAGUUAUCAUAUGCCUCCCUUUGAGCAAAAGGUUGUUGCAGUUCUCUCUCUAAAACUCUUUUUCUGGGUAUUUUGUGUUUAGGAAAGGUGGCGGACUUGAAAGUCUGAUCACAACAAAUACCAGGAAUAGGUACAAAGCUGGUUUCUGGCAGCAUUGCUUGGUGCCUGGUGGGAAAGGGUGUAAAUCCUCACCUGCAGCAACAGUCUUGUGGGAAUGGUUUUGGUAUUUUUUCCAGCUGCAUUUUUGAAAGACAAAGAUGCCAGUGCCCCAGCAGGCUGCAGGAAAAGUGAGCUCUUCUCUGGAUCCAGCUACUCUUCACCAGGGGAAAAAAAUGCAUGUUCCUACAUGGCAUUAGCAAACACAGAGUAAUUAACCCGAGGUAAAAUCCCAGUGAAGGCAAAGCAGACAAAGUAUUAAUAAAUGUGAACUGACAGAGAUAAGCCCUGAGGACCUCAUCUAUCUUCCCCAUGUGCUAGCAGGUCCAAGUGAAGCUGAAGUUGUCUCACCUGGUUUCCUUGUGCAGACUGACAAGGUAAGCGCAGACCUUGCACUGGGUAGAGGUGGCACCUUGUGAGUGCUGAGUGCCCCCAUCUCCCAUCUCUGGUGUUUCUGAGGGAUCUGUUGAGCCUCAAGAGAGUUGUCCUGAAGGAUGACAGCUCAGAGUGGCACUGUCCUGGUGCUCUAGAGCAAACAUGGCUGGAAGUGAUCCCAAUGCUGACCCCAGCACCCCCUCACCCACCCCUGCUAGGGCAGUGCAGGUCAGGGUUUGGCCAGGUUGGCUGGGCAUUGGAGGAGAAGGUGGUCCCAGCAACUCAGAGCUGUCUGGCACCUUCACUGAACAGGGAAAAGCUGCAGGCACUGAUCCUAACCCAAAUGGAUCAGCUCAUACAGGAAGAUGACUUACUGACAGAGGGAAAGUGUGUGAUCUGUGCCAUUCCUACAGGCCUGCAAACCUCCUGACCUUUAUCUGGCUGAUGUGCAGUGAUAUCUGGACACUUUUAUUGGCAACAGCACUGAGAGCAAUUCAAAUGACAUUCACUUCACUACUGGAGGCACAGCUUUUGCAUUUCCCCACCAACAAAUAAAGAGCAGAGCCUUCCUAUAUGUCUUUUCUGGGAACUGAUGCUUUCUAGGAAUUGCUUACAAAGAAUUAAGUAAUCUAUUUGAUUGUCAUCCAGAAGUCUUGGGCUUGCUAAAUGAUCUUGCACAAUUCUUUUUAUCCAGGAAGAUACUCCUUCAAGAUGGUCUCAAGGAUUUUCCUGUGGUAGGCAAAACAGGGCUCCCUUGAAUAAACUAGCUCUGAACAGGCAAAUAAAUGGAAUGCCUUUCACUGUACCUGUCACCAGUUUAUUUACUCCAUGUCCGCUUUCUGCCAUAAAAGUCUUGAGUGAUUUCAGCACAGUGAAACAUCUGCACUCAUUUUCAGAAAAUAACAACAACUGCCAAUGUAUGAAAUCACUAUUUUCUCAGAACUCCCAUUGUUCAGUGUCCGGCCCUUAUUGUUCCUCAUCUCCUGUGAGUGGUUUACAAUCAAAUCCGCUUUAUUUACAGUGGAAAGCAAAAUAUGUCAGAGCAAGACAAUUGACUAUAAGCCCUCAGUCAAUAACAGCUCAUUUUUGUGCAUGCUAAAGUGUAGUCAUUUCUUGUGCUCAUUGAAACCAGUGGCAAAAUUCCCACUUGGAGGUGUCAGUCCAGUCCUGUGCCAGGUGCUGGGCUCCUGCUAAGCCUAAGCUGGUACACCUCACCAUGCACCUUCUAAACCUGGAUCCAGCAGACACAUACCACAUUUCCAUAGGCUUCUUGAGCCACCCUGCAGUGAGCACUCACAAUUAAAGACUUGUAUCAAACAAUACUUUAGCAUUGUUCAACUGGUUUGGUGCUUAGGGGCUUUUGUAAGAUACUGUGCUGUCAGCAGACAAAUCAUCUCUAUCCCACAGUGUCUCAGUCUUUACUUUUGGUUUGUGGCCAACAUCAACUCCCACUGAAGGCCUUUCUUAUACAGUUUUCCAGUGAAUGCCUUCCAUGGGGUCAUCACAUCUCAGAGAUAAACACUGAAAAGCUGAAGCAUGCUAUUAAGCUUCUUAAAACAUUAGAAAGACAAUCAUUUUGACAGAAGAGAUGUUAAUCACACUUCUGUGAAAGCUUUUCAUCUUCAAAGCAUUUAACCAACAUUAAUUACAUGUAAUUGGCUUUUCCAAUGUACAUCAUGCAAAAACACACCUUUCAUGUCACUUGCUGCUAUCUCGCCCAGGAUUUCUGAGACAAAGCUGUUCCUCUUCAGUGCAGCACAGCUUCCUGAAGCCACCUGAGGCCUCAUCUUGCAACUCCCAAAGGGCAGCAUUUAAAACAGCAGUUGCACAGAAUAUAAACACCUCAGCUGAAAGGAGAGAUGUGGGGGAAAAAUGAAGUCAUCCCACUCAGGUGCCUGGAAAGCUGUGUCUCUAUUUCCAUCUGAGGAGGCUCCCUGAAGUUUUGCUGUCCCUGUGCCUGGGGAUGUCCCUGCCUUCACCAGGCCCAUCCAGGCCCCACAGCCACUCUGGUGUCUGCCUCAAACAUCCAGGAUGCCCCAGGCAGAGCAAGGUGCUCUCUGGACUCCAGCAGCACUGCAUUUGGCAGGCUAGAGUGAAAAGAGAAGGGAUCUCAUUUCCCAUGGAUAUCUUGUCUUCAAUCACCUACCCAAGAAGUUGAGAAUUUGGGUCCAUUCCUUUCAUCUGUCAGGAGACGUCUGAAACCCCCAUCUCCACCACCCUGCCUUGCUUUAUUUCCAUGACCUUUUCAUUGAAACAACUGCUACAGUCAGCCACAAACAACUUGAAAAACUUUAGAUUUUGAUUCCAAUUUACAGUGUGUGUGAGACCAAAAAAACCCCAACUUUCUUGCCCAGUGAACUGUCAGGAUUCAACGAGGAAAUCCAAGUUCCAUGUGUCCUUGAAAGAGCUGGGUAGUAUUCAAGCUCCCUGUAGCUCAGGGCUGAAAGAAAAGGAUUUUGGAAGCAUAAGUAAAAAACAUAGAUUUCACCAAAAAGGAUUAAAGAAGAAAAUAUCCAAGGAAAGAAAAAAUCCUGUUUACAGGGAUUGGAUCACAGAGAAUUUAUUCUGGCUAUGAGCACUGGUUGGAGGAUAAGGUUCACAACAGGUGAGAAACCAAACCCAAGCACUAUCUGGGAUCAACAGCACCAUUCAGGUCAGGAGAUAGGUGAAGGUCCUGAUAAGUGUAUUCCCUCUCUUUGGCUGCCUUUCAGAAGGCAAUAUUGAAGGUGAUGUUAUGCUUGUUUUCAUAUUGAGUGUGGAGCCAUUUACAAGCUGAUUAGCUCCAUCACUGUUUAUAUAUGUAGCUAAUAGAGCUAAAAAAUGUGCUGUUAGUUCAAUGGCUCAUGAAGGUAUGAAAACUCCACCUGGCAGCCUGGCAUUCAUGCAUUCCCUUGAACCAAAUAAAUGUGCUUUCCCAAAAGUUCAGGACUUUCCUCAUUUUUAUUCUUAGCCUUCAACUUUUAUUCUUAACCCUAGAAUAGAGCCCAGAGAAUAAAACCCUAGAAUAAAACCCUACACAGUCCAGAGAAUGAGUUUCCCAUGGAGUUGUUUGGGUCUGGGAUAAUAAGUUCCACGUCUUUUGAACUGUCUUGGACAUUGAAAGGCUCUUCAUCUCUCAUGAGCAUCUGCUAGAGAAAGGGAAUCCUGCCUGGUAUGGUCAGGCAGAAAAUCAGCUGUGCUGAGGAUUCAAAAUGCCCAGGGACUUGACCUCAGAUCCCAGAGAGGGAGAUUUUUAAAAAAAACAUUGAAGUGGCAGGUUCCAGUGCAAGUCCUAGUUGUGCUCCUGAAUCAACAAGAUCCUGUAAAAAUCCCACAGUGCAUCACCUGUGGCUGUUUAUUUUGCAGACUUCUUCAGCACCUCAUUCUCAAGAUUAUAACUCAGUUAUUGGCCACACAGCUCUGUCAGACUGCUCCCACCCUGGGAGUUAAGUAAAUGGUUGAGUGUGUUAUUGGUUCAGAGCUAGGACACUCUCCACCUUGCUGGAUUGAGCCCUGUAAUCUGUUCAUAUUUCCUUUUCAACUCCUGCGAGUAACCCCAAGCAGGCUGGGAACACUAAGUGCAAAGUUGCAGGAGAUGGCUGUGGCAAUUUCUGAAUGACAAGAGCAUUUAAAAGAAAUGUCAAGAGUCUGUGGGCUACGAGCUUUUAUGUUUCAAGGAGAAACAAGAACAAAGGAGGGACAAUAAAUCAAACAGCAACAGCUUAGCAUGCUCCAUCUCUGAGAGUUAACCUCUUGAAAGCCACGGCCCCGACACAGCCAGGGCCACAAUCCUUUGAUGGGGUCCAUUAUUUUGUACAAAGUGAUGGGAGCAGCAGGGUGGGCUCCUCCAUGCAUGCCCAGGGGCCAUGCACACUGUGCUUUGCUUGACAUGUGCUAUGCAUUUAUGGGUUAACAUCAAACAUGAGCUGAUUUAUAAUUUUUAAUCAAAAAAGGAUUAUAACCUAAUAAAUCCUAAUAACGUAUUCUGUCUGGAGGUUAUGUGGUGUAGUCAUAUAAUACACUGGUAGCUUUGCUCUCCUGAGCCUGGAAAAUGGUGUAAAGUUUUUGAUUUGUCAGUAAACUGUUCCUUGGAAAUGCUUAAAUGGAUCAAGACUCUCCAAGCACCACGGUGCAAAUGAUGAUCCCCUUUCCUGCUCUCACAGGGUUUGGAGCACUUGAAUGAGACACCCUUGGAAGCUUGCAGCAUCUCUGUGUGCCUCCUCCUAAAGCUGCCUUCAGCCAGCGAUGUUCUCUUUGUGUGAGAGCAAGUGCAUGUCCUGAUAAACCUCCAUGGGUGGUCAGGAGAGAGACCUCAACAGAAACCUUCAGUCUUGCCACAUCUUCACCCCUGCUGGAGGAUAAAGUCACCUGGAGCCUGAUCCCAGCCCUAGGAAACUCCAAAGGGCUUUGGAGCUAUUCCUUUAACACUGGUUUGCUAAUUAAGGAAGGAUUUCCAAGCCAAUCAGAUAAAGAAAUCCAUCAGGAUCAACUAAGUCUAUGUCAGUAGAAUUGCUCUCACUCAGGUGCCACAGAAUCAGGUUGGGAAAAGACCUCUGAGACCAUUGACUACAACUUUUGCCUGACCACCACUGUGUCAACACCACCACCCUGUCCAGCCAUUCCCCAAACAGCCCCAGGGAUGUCACUCCACCACUUCCCUGGGCAGCCCAUUCCAAUGUUUAACAACCCUCACCAAGAAGGAAUUUCUCCUCAAAUCCAACCUGAAUCUCCCCUGGUGCAGCUUCUUGCUCUGUCCUCUCACCCUGUCAAACAUGAGAAUGUGGAGCAAGUGUCCUGUGCCAAGGGGAGAGGAUAUUUCUCAGAGGUGAUCCACUCACAACCCUUUGGUUUGGAAUCUUUUUCCAAUACAGCUGCAGUCUUGCAGAUAUAUAUCUGGAAAAGGCAACUUUAUGAGAUUUUUUUUCCACUAGGCUCUAGUUGAAGCUUCUACUUUCUCCAGGGUUCAGCUAAAACCAUCCUGGGCUGACAGUCUUCAAUUGGAAUCUUUUGUGAUACCCAGCUAACAGUGCUUCCCAACAGGCCUUGGACAUGGAAUUCAUACACCUUCAUCCUAAUUUUACCAAAGCAUCCUAAAAUACUGCUCCUGCCACACUCUCUGUGUAAAGAGGACACACAAAGAGCUCUUCUCUCUCCCUGGCUCAGAGGAAAUUGUUGCCUUCAGUUUUUAUUGUACCAGCAUUGCCUGGAUUCCUCUAAUAAAGGCAUCUGUCUGGUAUUUUCAAAGUCUUCUUCUGGGAAAUAACAGCUGUGCUUUCAGUGUUUCACUGAAAUUCAGGAUGGAAAGGGGUGUCUGUCUCCACACCUAGGCCAUUUCUUCCCUUGCACUGUUUGAAAACAUCUCCUGCCCUUCACUUCAUGGUUCUGGUACCAAAGCAGUAAGCACAGCUCACAGUGCUGCUCCUGCCAGCCCAGGAGCCAGCCAGGCUGUGCACAGAUGAGGAUGUUAGAUCUGAACCCAUUUCCUGGGAAAGGGGGAUGCCUGUGUAAACAAACAAAUGUUCAGCCAAGUUCUCAAAUCAGAAAUUUUUCUGAAAUCUCUGAGUGAGGUUUAUCCAAAACUGCAUGAAACUCCAGAUUUCCAAGAACGGGUCUUUCUGGAGCUGGCAGAAUACACCCCAAAUUCCUCCAAUUUAAAGACUGCUGCAGUUAGAAAUUAAUUUUUUCAAAAAUCUUAGUUUAAAGCAAAGUCCAACUGCAAACAAAGAAAUGAGAAGCAGAGAAAUUUGCCUAAUUUAGACAAAGUGCUCCAGAGAGCAGCCUCGUUCAUUGCAGCCAUUCCCCUUCACCAGCAUCUUUCUAGAAUAUAAAAACUGGAGUUUGGAGAGCAGGUAAUCCACAGAUCCAACUCAGCUUUUAAUUCUGCUUUGCUCUCAGCACAUCUUGACCCCAACCCUGGUCCAAAAGGAUGGAUGGAUGUUACUAAUGGCUGCAUUCAACAGGCAGAGCUCCAAUCUGCUCUCCCCUCCAGCCAGUCUGGGCUGUAUCUGCAGCAUCUGACUGUGCCCUUAAUAGGCAGCUGGAUGAGCCCAUCUAUUACCACCACAACCCUGAAACCCACAGGCUUUCCAGCCUAAAAUGGGGAGCAGCCACAGUUUGGAUUAAAGAGAGCAAGGGCUGUUUUGGUGGAGCUGCAAUAGAUCUUUUCUCUGAGGGUGAGAUAGCAAUGGAGCCAUGCCACACACACCUAUGGCUGCUGUCACCCAGAAUGCACAGGCAGCAUUUUGGGGAGCUGGAGAUGCACUCCUGGGGUGCAAAACAAUUCCUGCAUUCCUGCUGGGAGAGACACAGAGAGCUGGGAAUUCUCAGGGUGGUUCUUUACCUUGGCAAAAGCAUCUGCAAGAACUCGUGCUGCAGUUUUGGGUUUACAAAGCCUGAGAGUCUAUUGCAGGUCUUAAGGAGUUGUUACCAUUUUUUUAUGAAGGCAAAACACUCAUUAAGGACUUCUUUAAUUGCACAUAAGCCCUGAUCUUUGUAGCUCCAAUUUUAUAAAAUUGUGUUCAUCUCUCAUUGCCUUAACCCAUCGGAGGUUACAGAAUUGUCCCCAGUUUUUUAAGACCUGAAUUUUCAGUCAUGUUUUAGAGUGUCCUGGGACUGUGAUGAAAAAUGAGCCUUUAGCCUUGCUCAUAAAGAAGUGAUAAUAAUUAGAAAAUCUCCUGGCCUGUGCAGAUUUUAUAACUCCAUAGAUACCACAGUAUUAACAUUCUGUUUGUCCACCUGUUAGAAGAAACAGAUCUGAAGAGUCAUAACUCUAAAACAGUGGGUGACAAUUUAAUGAAAAAUUGAGCUCUGCAUUUAAUUUCCUUUUAAGUUCAGUUGAGCAUUCUGUGAGAUCAAAGGGGCUUUGUGGCUUGCAAAUGAUCUAUGAUAUCAGAGAAACAGAUUAUAACCCAGGCACAGUUUGGUAUUUAAGUAAGUAUCUGCUUUUAAUACCCAUGUUUAAAGUAGGCUAAUGGAACUAAAGCACAAGGAUAAUUUCCUAUGAUACAACUCUAUAAUCCAGUUUAAUAUAGCAGUUGAACACUAAAAGCAUAUUUUGAAUUUAUUUCAGUGCUUUCCCCCCCCCCUCUGGAAAGCAUUCUGAGACACCAUAAAACAUUUUUAACACAACAAAAGGUCUUGCCUUGGUCUGUAAGAUUUUGGAGCAGGGACUGCAUUUAUGCACUUGUAGAAUGUGUGGAGAAGUGAAUCUCAGUGGGUUCAGUAUAUGAAGAAUAGAUAAACAACAGCAAAACUGCAUGUCAGUGAGGAAUUACUUUUAGUGCCGGUUCUGGAGUUCUGCUUAGAAGGAUUCUAUCUUCCCCCUUCACAUCCAUGCUACAUAAUUGUGGGCAGUGGGCUUGAAAAAAGAUAAUAAAAAGAAACAAAGCUAUUUAAUGGUUAAAAGUGCUUCUGUUUUAUUUGGGUUCUUUGUUUUUGUUUUUUGCCUUUUUUAAACAAAUCCCUGCAGCAGCAGAUAUGCCAUAUUUUCCUUUUCAGAAAUGCACCAAAUUACACCUAGCCAGGGGUUUCCCUCCAUGACCUAGAGAAGAUGCUGCUGCAGCCUCUCUUCUGCUGCUUGAACUCUUCUUCCUCUUUACUACCUUAAAUUUAUGGACAAUUCAUUCUUGUUUGCUCUCCUGAUAGUGUUGUCCUUCAGGCUAUCAGGUCUAUUCCCCCUCAAUGUUUACCUUCCUGAUGGGCCUGUGUGCCAUCAUUAUGUACAUCUGUCUUUCCCAGGCAGGAGGAGUCACACCUUGCAGAGCAGUUUGAUGUUCUCCUGGUCAGUGGUCCUUCUAUCUCCACCUGAAUCCAUCAGAUUUGAACACCAGGGAUGAGAAUUGUGCACACUGUUCCACAGGAGGCUGCACCAGCCACAUGUACAGAGGCAUUAAUGCAGCUGCAGCUUGGCUAGAAAUGUCUCCUGAUGUAUGACAAGCUUGUGUGAGCCUGACAUGAUGUGGUGGGAUGUUGGUAGCUCAGACGUCUCAUGAUGAACCCAUGCAUCUGGGUCUGCAAUCUCAGCAAACCCACAGGAUCUUUGAUUGUGUCAGGAAUUAAAGCAAAGUGCAUCCAGGGUUUACAGUUUCACCCCCUUUCUGCUAUUUUAAUCUGUGAGGUCAUCCAGACAUUGCUGUAGGAUAUCUGGAGCCCCUUCAGGACUGAUAAUGCCUCUCAGCUUGGUGUCACCAGCACAUUUCUGUCCCUCCCUUCCACCUUUGGUGCCAAGAUCUAUCUCUAUCUUUUGUCCCCUAAAGUCUCUGUUCCACUCAACUGAUUCAUAUCUUCCCAAGCCAAUUCCUUGCCCUUCUCAUAGUCUACUGCUUAUUUCGGGGUUUACCAACUAAAAUAAUCAUUUUUUAUGUGCUCCUGCAUAAAAAAUGAGAGGUUUUGGUGGAUGGAGAAUGAUGAUGAAAACUCCAGUCAAACUGGCACCAAAUUUGAAGUUAGAUCCAUUUUACUAAUGCCCACAAGGACUAGUCUGCUGCACAUCUUUGGUCUGGAAUAUCUGUUGUCCUUUCUGUAAAAACAGCAACAAACCCCUCAUGUUUCCCUGAUUAGAGGCAGGUUGGAGAUUUUGAUUUCCUUGUCACUGAUUUGUAGAGGUGAUCAUUUUGCUUCUCUUGUGAUUAAAGCAGCUCUUUAAGGUGGCUCAGGCAAGGCUAUCAUGGCCAGUUUGGGAUGCUGUUGAUGCUGUGUAGUUCUGCUACUUGCAAGGAACAAGGCUGGUAUUUUCAAACCAAUUCAGAGAAUAUGCUGAAAAAUCAACAGGACCUGAAACCUGAUUCCUCUGCUUUGAAAGUCUAAGUUUACAUCCAUGAUGCUUUUACAUCCCAAAUUCUGUUUCUCAUAUCCCCAAAUGAAGGACAAAGCAUCUAAUUAAUCACAAAAAUGCCUGAUUUGUUUGUUAAAAUAGGUAUGUGGUAAAUAGAUGUACGGAUAUUCAGGACACUUGGGGCAAGUCAGUACCAUAUAAAAUCUACUUGUGCUCCUCUGUAGCAGCAGCUGGGAGAAGUUUGACCAUUUCUGAUGGCACUGGACAGAUACCUCCUGGGAACUGAAGAUGCUUCUUGUGUCUACCUGAAAGAAUUUGCCUUGAGGAGCAUUAUUGGACAAAUAGAUACAAACCUACUGCAAAACAAAGAAUGAAGUUUUGGAAGAAGCUGAAGAAUAAUGAUUUGAAGUCUGCAGAACAAUGGGAAGAGAUGGGUCCUGGGAUUAGGGCAAGAAGGGGAACAAAAGACCCCACACUGUGUCCCAAAGACUUCUUUAACAUCAUUGACCCUAUUGACCCAUUUUCAACUGAGUUCCCUGUUCUGAAGGUGGACAGACUGAGGUCAGCAGCUUUGCUUGGACAGGAGGAGCAGGAGAAGCACAAGGAAGUGUCUUAGGAUAAAUGAAAAUAUGGAAGUAUCAAAGCUUGGCCAUCAGUUGUAGAAGAAUAGGAUAGGUGCUUCAGUUUUCACCUCAUUAACCCAGUUGUUCCACUGGAUAAACAACUCUGCCUUGAAGUUAAUCUUCAAAUAAAUAUGCUCUUAAAAUCCAGUGGGUAUUUAUCUAAUAUAGGAUAACUGUCUUACUGAAGCUAAAUUAAAUGCUUCUGGAUAAACUUAA